UACGGAGGGUGCAAGCGUUAUCCGGAUUUAUUGGGUUUAAAGGGUCCGUAGGCGGACUCGUAAGUCAGUGGUGAAAUCUCAUAGCUUAACUAUGAAACUGCCAUUGAUACUGCGGGUCUGAGUAAAGUAGAAGUGGCUGGAAUAAGUAGUGUAGCGGUGAAAUGCAUAGAUAUUACUUAGAACACCAAUUGCGAAGGCAGGUCACUAUGUUUUAACUGACGCUGAUGGACGAAAGCGUGGGGGAGCGAACAGG
rnacentral:rRNA from 1 species